rnacentral:misc_RNA from 1 species
GAUGAAGAACGUAGCGAAAUGCGAUAAGUAAUGCGAAUUGCAGAAUCCGUGAGUCAUCGAAUCUUUGAACGCACAUUGCGCCCCUUGGUUAUUCCGAAGGGCAUGCCUGUUCGAGCGUCAUUUAACCCCUCAAGCCUAGCUUGGUAUUGGGUGCUUGUCCCGCCUCUCGCGCGGCGACUCACCUCAAAGUCAUUGGCAGCCCGCAUCUCGCCGGCCGUGAGCGCAGCACAGACGCGCUCUUGGCAACGACGGAUCGGCUCUCCAAAAGCUUAUUUCAACCACUGACCUCGGAUCAGGUAGGGAUACCCGCUGAACUUAAGCAUAUCAAUAAGCGGAGGA